GAUGAACGCUAGCGUACGAGGCUUAACACAUGCAAGUCGAGGGGCAGCAGUGGUCUUAGCUUGCUAAGGCCGAUGGCGACCGGCGCACGGGUGAGUAACACGUAUCCAACCUGCCGUCUACUCUUGGACAGCCUUCUGAAAGGAAGAUUAAUACAAGAUGGCAUCAUGAGUCCACAUGUUCACAUGAUUAAAGGUAUUCCGGUAGACGAUGGGGAUGCGUUCCAUUAGAUAGUAGGCGGGGUAACGGCCCACCUAGUCUUCGAUGGAUAGGGGUUCUGAGAGGAAGGUCCCCCACAUUGGAACUGAGACACGGUCCAA
rnacentral:rRNA from 1 species